AUGAAUCUUCUAAGUUGGAAUUGUUGGGGUGGGGGGAACUCUCGGACAGUUCGUGACUUGGCGACUUUGGUUCAGUCGCAUUCCCCCAAAGUGGUGUUUUUGUGUGAAACUCGGCAGUCUAAAACUCGCAUGAAAAGGUACCAAGUUCGGCUGGGACUACAAGGUUUUGAUGCAGUUGAUAGUAUUGGUAAUAGUGGUGGCCUUGUGUUAUUUUGGCAUGAAUCCCUAUCUGCUGAGGUGGUUUCCUCAAGUCAACGUUGCAUGGAUGCGCUUGUGAGGGAAGGACCAGAUGACCCACCUUGGCGUCUAACAUGUGUCUACGGAGAGCCAAGGGUAGAAGAUCGUCAUAAUACGUGGUCCCUUUUGCAGAGCAUGAGCAUGCAAUAUGAUCUUCCUUGGCUUGUAGUUGGUGAUUUCAACGAAUGUGUGUGGGAUUUCGAGCACUUUUCAGCCACGCCAAGGGCAGCUAGUCAGAUGCAAGCUUCUAGAGAUGUCCUUGAGCUUUGCGCGCUAACUGACUUAAGCUUUGUUGGAGUCCCUUAUACGUAUGAUAAUAAGAGAGCUGGCAGUACAAAUGUAAAAGUUUGUCUGGAUAGAGUUGUGGCUAACCCAGCAUGGAGAAAUCGUUUCGAUCAGGCGCUGGUCACGCACCUCACUUCUCCAUGUUCAGACCAUGCGCCACUUCAUGUUGCUAGCGAGCAGUUCGAGGACCGGCCUUGCAAACAAAGAAUUAGAAGGUAUGAAGUGAUGUGGGAGCGUGAACCGGCAUUACAGGAGGUUACUGCAAAAGCUUGGUCGGCUGCUGGAACAAAAAGUUUGUUAGGCGAUAUGCAUGGAGCUUUACGGGAUACAAUGCAUAAAUUAUGCCAGUGGAGCAAAACAAAAUUUGGCAGCGUUUGA
rnacentral:rRNA from 1 species